rnacentral:lncRNA from 1 species
CCUAUAGUUAUUGCAACACUGAAUGUCCCCCUUAUUCUUAUAGAGGGGGAUCAUGGUACUCCACCUCCACGCCUCGGGCAUCUUUGCCGUCCUGAAGAUUUCAUUAAACAAUCCAGUCAACCACCUUACACCGGCCUCUCCAACGAACUUCCAAAACUUCACCGGUAUCUCAUCCGGCCUCGUCGGCCUACCCCUUCGCAUCCUGCGGACAACCUGUCUCACCUCUUCUACCUUAAAAUGUCUACAAUAGCUAAAAUCCCGACACUCCUCUGAGUGCUCCAGUUCCCCUAACACAAUAGCUCUAUCCCCUUCGUCAUUCAAGAGCCUAUGAAAGUACGACUGCCAUCUCUUCUUAAUGUGGCCCUCUUCCACCAACACUCUACCGUCCUCCCCCUUAAUGCACCUCACCUGAUCGAGGUCACGACCCUUCCUCUCCCUAGCCUUAGCGAGUCGGAACAACUUUUUCUCCCCUCCUUUCCCCUGUAACCCUGCAUACAAGCUCUCAAAAGCAGCCGUCUUAGCUGCCGUGACCGCUGACUUCGCCUCCUUCCUCGCUAGCUUGUACUCUUUCCUGUUUACCCGCUUCUCUUCUUCGUCCUUACUUUCCACCAAC